CAAAGGCUUGGUCCUGACUUUACUAUCAGCUCUAGCUAGACUUACACAUGCAAGUAUCUGCACCCCCGUGAGAAUGCCCCCAUUUCCCGCCCGGAAACAAGGAGCCGGUAUCAGGCACGGUUAACACCAGCCCACGACACCUUGCUUAGCCACACCCUCAAGGGUCAUCAGCAGUGAUAAACAUUAAGCCAGGUUAUACGAGAGGCCAAGUUGACAGACACGGCGUAAAGAGUGGUAGGAAUUUUUAAACUAAAGCCGAACGUCCUCAGAGCUGUAUAACGCUUACGAGUUAAGAAGCCCCGCUACGAAAGUAGCUUUACCCCACCUGACCCCACGAAAGCUGUGAAACAAACUGGGAUUAGAUACCCCACUAUGCUCAGCCCUAAAAUUUGAUAGGCCCUCACGCCCCCUAUCCGCCCGGGUACUACGAGCAUCAGCUUGAAACCCAAAGGACUUGGCGGUGCUUCACAUCCGUCUAGAGGAGCCUGUUCUAGAACCGAUAACCCCCGUUAAACCUCACCCUCCCUUGUUAAUACCGCCUAUAUACCGCCGUCGUCAGCCUACCCUGUGAAGGACUAGAAGUGAGCAAAAUUGGUAAAACCCAAAACGUCAGGUCGAGGUGUAGUGUAUGAGAGGGGAAGAAAUGGGCUACAUUUCCUAAAUCAGGAAACACGAAUAAUGAACUGAAAUAAGCAUUUAGAAGGUGGAUUUAGCAGUAAGCAGAAA
rnacentral:rRNA from 1 species